rnacentral:lncRNA from 1 species
AAAAAAGAAGGGGAAAAAGGGAGGAUCGAAGGGGGUUCGGCGGGGGAGCUUCCAGAUUCCGGCAAGAGGGGUGUUUUGGGGGGAUCCGAUCCAAUCGGUCGGUUCUUCCAAUUUUUGGCUUCCAAAUCGGGGGAGACAAAUAUUUUUUCUCCCAGGUCCGAUCUGAUGGAUGGGGAAAAUCAUAAAGUCGGUCACCAAAAACCAAAUCGAGGAAGAUCGAUGGGAAACACCCGUCGCCACUGCUUCGUUUGAACGGAGAAGACUAGGGCAAACUCUGAUUCGAGUUCUCGAAAAAUAUCGUCCCAAAUCAAGAUAAACCCCUAUUUUCCCAAACCGGCUUCAGACGCAGGACAACCGCACAGACCACCCGCGGUUGCUUAGCCGUUGGUCCGGCGAGGCCGGCGACCAGUCUUUUUCUCGAUUAGUCUCAAUACCUUAAUUGCUUUUCAUAUUACGCACAAUUUCUUAUGAUUUUACUCAAUUUCUGGUGCAAGGGCAAAGGAAAACAUCGAGUUAUCCAGUAAUGGGGCAAGGUGGACUUCCGAGCUAUAGGAAAAUGAGUACUCUGGUGAGAUUCACUUCAAAACUCACAGCGGGCGGGUGAAGGUCUGUCGCAUCCGUCGAUUCUUCGGGUCGGUCGGUGAAACAGAGGCAGCUACCUCUGGGUCCCGUGCAAAUUGGCUGCCAAGGGUCUCGCUGCAGCUGUCCCCUUUAGAGCCAAUGGGUUAGACGUAUAGCUGCGCCGUUCUCUUCAUUUUCCAACAAAGCACCGCCAUCUUCAAUCGCUGAAAGGGGAUUAGGAAAGAAACUCCAAGUUCAGAUCUAGAUUGGGAUAAUCCUCUCACCGAUGAUACUUCUGACAUAUCAACAAAUGAAUAAGCUAAGUUAUCUAUCUCUUUUCUGCUGCACUAAUCCACGAUGAAUCAAUUACAUUCCGCUGUCGUCCUGGCCGAUUGUUGGUUUAAUUGACUGAGAUAGGGCAUAACAUAGUGCAAAAUGCAUUUGUGAAGGAAAAAACCUCUGCUAUACUUGAUUUCUUGUGGGAGUGAGCCUGCUUACAUUGCUCGAUGUCUACUUGUUAGGAUCUGAUUUUGUGAGGUUUAAUUGAGGCUGAUAUUGCUGUGAUUUUUGGGUUAAUUUUGGGUCUAAUACUGUUGAUUUCGAACACUUGUCCAAUCGGGAUCAUCCCAUCAUGAUAUAUCCGAUUGAAGAAUGAUGAUUCAUGCUUUGGUGACUAUCUUAAUUUUAUAGAGAACGUGGCUAUUAAAUCUUUGGUUGAGCUGUGAAUUUUCUUGAGAAAAAAAAUUUAAUAUCGUCUGCUAUGUUCACUUAUAUAUUUGCCGAUGACCUCUUCUCCUGAUUUAAGCCUUGAGUAACCAACUUAAAACUUCAUUAUAAUCUUGCUCUAUUUGUUGUAGUUUGCCUGAGACUGCUACUGUUGGGACUAAUUGGAGAUCAAUUAUUGUUGAUUUAAUCACUAGAAAAACCAUAAGUUAAGGGCUAUAUGCGCUUCACACUAUCUUGAGGGUGACAAACGCUAGCCACCAAGUUAUAUCUACCGCGGAUUAAUCGGAGUCCGACAAGGCAGCAAGGGCCUGCCAUUGUCAGCAUUGUCUUGGCUUCAACCGAACAGAACAGCUGCCUUUCUCCCUAUCAUAAGCUAAGUCUUUUAAAUCAUAUGGAUGUAUUUAUUCAAUUCCCGAGAUUGCAUUAUUUUGGAAUACUAUCGAUGCUGGAUGAGCUUUCAAAGAAGGUGGCUCGACUGAUAAAGCUGAUUAGCGACAUGUGUAUUAUGCUGUGAAUCACGUGAAGCUUCUUUAACGUGAGAAGGGAUACAGCGCCAUAAAAACAGUCGUGGAAUGCCUUUGAAGUUUGGACACUCUUGAUAUAGCCCUCAAUGCGGAUUGACAAAGAUGACGGAUCUUUCAAUCUCUUUCAAGGACGGUGGCGAUAGCCACAAUUGCCAGCGCUGCCAUUCAAUCUCUGGUGUUCUCUGUUGCUACCCUGCGCCAUUCAAGCCGAUGGACAUUCUAAACUUACAACAUUCACUAUGCUAAAAUUAUAUCAGGGAAGAAUCUUUCAUUAAGUGUUGGCAUAUAUCUCUAUUCUUGUUUCUAUAUCUAUAGUUUCAAUAUUGCUUGAGAGGGGUUGUAAUCUUGUUUAUACGUUUAUGCUAAGCUAUUUAUUGUCAGUCUAUCAUGAAUAUUGAUCUGUGGGAUUAUGUUUGAUUACGUUGCUUGAAGUCUACUAUUUAGGAUCUGAAUAUGUAGUUUAAAUAUCGACGUUGACAUUCUUUUAAUAGUACAGCGCAGGCAUUAUAUAUAUCUGUGUACAGAUUCUUGAGUUUGUGAGCCUGAUAUUGCUAUGGUUUUCUUCUG